UACAAGCCCCUGAUGAUAGCAUAGUUCAUCAGACAGUAUAAUGUUGAUAUAUCUGUCUUUCGCUCCUAUCUGAGGCUGGUA